GCUCCGGUAGUGUAGCGGCCAAUCAUUCAGCCCUUUCGAGGCUGACACACGGGUUCGAAUCCCGUCCGGAGCA
rnacentral:tRNA from 1 species